rnacentral:rRNA from 1 species
CUACAGGCUUAACACAUGCAAGUCGAGGGGCAGCAUUUUAGUUUGCUUGCAAACUGAAGAUGGCGACCGGCGCACGGGUGAGUAACACGUAUCCAACCUGCCGAUAACUCCGGAAUAGCCUUUCGAAAGAAAGAUUAAUACCGGAUAGCAUACGAAUAUCGCAUGAUAUUUUUAUUAAAGAAUUUCGGUUAUCGAUGGGGAUGCGUUCCAUUAGUUUGUUGGCGGGGUAACGGCCCACCAAGACUACGAUGGAUAGGGGUUCUGAGAGGAAGGUCCCCCACAUUGGAACUGAGACACGGUCCAAACUCCUACGGGAGGCAGCAGUGAGGAAUAUUGGUCAAUGGGCGAGAGCCUGAACCAGCCAAGUAGCGUGAAGGAUGAAGGCUCUAUGGGUCGUAAACUUCUUUUAUAUGGGAAUAAAGUUUUCCACGUGUGGAAUUUUGUAUGUACCAUAUGAAUAAGGAUCGGCUAACUCCGUGCCAGCAGCCGCGGUAAUACGGAGGAUCCGAGCGUUAUCCGGAUUUAUUGGGUUUAAAGGGAGCGUAGGUGGAUUGUUAAGUCAGUUGUGAAAGUUUGCGGCUCAACCGUAAAAUUGCAGUUGAAACUGGCAGUCUUGAGUACAGUAGAGGUGGGCGGAAUUCGUGGUGUAGCGGUGAAAUGCUUAGAUAUCACGAAGAACUCCGAUUGCGAAGGCAGCUCACUAGACUGUCACUGACACUGAUGCUCGAAAGUGUGGGUAUCAAACAGGAUUAGAUACCCUGGUAGUCCACACAGUAAACGAUGAAUACUCGCUGUUUGCGAUAUACAGUAAGCGGCCAAGCGAAAGCAUUAAGUAUUCCACCUGGGGAGUACGCCGGCAACGGUGAAACUCAAAGGAAUUGACGGGGGCCCGCACAAGCGGAGGAACAUGUGGUUUAAUUCGAUGAUACGCGAGGAACCUUACCCGGGCUUAAACUGCAACAGAAUAUAUUGGAAACAGUAUAGCCGUAAGGCUGUUGUGAAGGUGCUGCAUGGUUGUCGUCAGCUCGUGCCGUGAGGUGUCGGCUUAAGUGCCAUAACGAGCGCAACCCUUAUCUUUAGUUACUAACAGGUUAUGCUGAGGACUCUAGAGAGACUGCCGUCGUAAGAUGUGAGGAAGGUGGGGAUGACGUCAAAUCAGCACGGCCCUUACGUCCGGGGCUACACACGUGUUACAAUGGGGGGUACAGAAGGCGGCUACCUGGUGACAGGAUGCUAAUCCCAAAAACCUCUCUCAGUUCGGAUCGAAGUCUGCAACCCGACUUCGUGAAGCUGGAUUCGCUAGUAAUCGCGCAUCAGCCAUGGCGCGGUGAAUACGUUCCCGGGCCUUGUACACACCGCCCGUCAAGCCAUGAAAGCCGGGGGUACCUGAAGUACGUAAACGCAAGGAGCGUCCUAGGGUAAAACUGGUA